CGCAGAACCCGUUUCAAAUGUGACACUAUCGGUGAAUCAGACCAACCUGGUGGAGUUCAGCAGCUCAGCAGUCGUAACGUGCUCUGUCUCCUCUGGAUCCUCACUCUCUUUCCUCUGGCUGAACGGCAGCUCUGAGGUUACAGCCAGUGACAGAGUUCAACUCACUGAUGGAAACGCCACUCUCACAAUACUCAAUGUAACCCGCUAUGAUCAGGGGCCGUUUACAUGUUACGUGUUCAAUUCUGUCAGUAAUGGCAGCAACACAGUAAACUUUACCGUCUUCUGUGAGUAGCACAAUGUUAAUUUAAUUAUAAAGAGCUAUAAUUGUUCUUUGUUACAUCAGUUCCACUGACACAGCUUCUUCUCUUCUGUUUCUUUCUCUCUCUCUAAGAUGGUCCAGAUAACAUGGCUCUCACAAUUAACGGGCAGAGCAUGACUUCUUUUUUAGUUGGCUCCAACCUAACCUUGCUCUGUUCAGCACAGUCCAGUCCCCCAGCCCAGCUUCAGUGGGCUUUCAGAGGGCAGAAUGUGAACACUACAGGUCCGAUGUUGUAUCUGUACAACGCUACAGAGAAUCAAAGUGGUCCAUACUCCUGUCUGGCCUUCAACAAUGCCACCACUGUAAACACCACUAUCACCACGCAAAUCACAAUAGCAAACUCAUCAGGAUCUCAACAACAGGAAGCCAAUGUGUGGCUCCUUCCUCUGCUGUUAUUGGCUGCAUUACUGUUGUCAUUGCCAGGAAAGAUAUAAAAUGACUACUUUAUCAUAUUUGUCCAUCAUCUAUACUCUUCAAUAUAUAUAUAUAUAUAUAUAUAAACAUAAUAAAUCAUGAACUGACAUUAAAUAUACCAUAGUUAUUCUAAUGUGUUCUCUAAGAAACUAUUUUCUUGGUUAGUUACCUGCAUAGCUCAUUUGUUUUGCUAAAUACAUUUAAGGGAAAAUGAAAGCAUGAGUCUAAAUAUACUGAUAUUCAGACUUAUUUAAAAUAUGGAAGAAAGAAAACACAUUUUUUCACAGACUUUGUGCAAAAAGAAAGUUCUCAUGGUAAACAUGGUAAAGAGGUACAUACUAAGAUAAACACAAACAACACAUGCACACAAACAUAAUUUUGUGUUAGCUGCAAAUUUAAAGCAGUUAUAUAUUACAAGCAUUACUUUUUGACAAGUAAAUGAAAUGCACCUAGAUAACAAUAUUAUAUUAUAAUCUAAACUCUUUGCACAGCCUCUGUAUCAUUAAAUUAACUUAAUUUACU
rnacentral:lncRNA from 1 species